GCCUUCGGGGUGUAGUGGUCAGCACGCCAGACGUAUAACUGAGAGGUCCGUGGUUCGAUUCCCGGCGAAGGCG
rnacentral:tRNA from 1 species